GAUGAACGCUGGCGGCGUGCCUAAUACAUGCAAGUCGAGCGAACAGAUGAGGAGCUUGCUCCUCUGACGUUAGCGGCGGACGGGUGAGUAACACGUGGAUAACCUACCUAUAAGACUGGGAUAACUUCGGGAAACCGGAGCUAAUACCGGAUAAUAUAUUGAACCGCAUGGUUCAAUAGUGAAAGACGGUUUUGCUGUCACUUAUAGAUGGAUCCGCGCCGCAUUAGCUAGUUUGUAAGGUAACGGCUUACCAAGGCAACGAUGCGUUGCCGACCUGAGGGUGUGUGCGGCCACACUGGUACUUAGCCACGGUCCAGACCCCUGCGGGAGGCCGCAGUAGGGAACCUUCCGCAAUGGGCGAAAGCCUGACGGAGCAACCCCGCGUCUGUGCUGAAGGUCUUCGGAUCGUAAAACUCUGUUAUUAGUGAAGAACAACUGUGUAAGUAACUAUGCACGUCUUGACGGUACCUAAUCAGAAAGCCACGGCUAACUACGUG
rnacentral:rRNA from 1 species